rnacentral:rRNA from 1 species
CUACGUGCCAGCAGCCGCGGUAAUACGUAGGUCCCGAGCGUUGUCCGGAUUUAUUGGGCGUAAAGCGAGCGCAGGCGGUUAGAUAAGUCUGAAGUUAAAGGCUGUGGCUUAACCAUAGCACGCUUUGGAAACUGUUUAACUUGAGUGCAAGAGGGGAGAGUGGAAUUCCAUGUGUAGCGGUGAAAUGCGUAGAUAUAUGGAGGAACACCGGUGGCGAAAGCGGCUCUCUGGCUUGUAACUGACGCUGAGGCUCGAAAGCGUGGGGAGCAAACAGGAUUAGAUACCCUGGUAGUCCACGCCGUAAACGAUGAGCACUAGGUGUCGGGAUCGCAAGAUUUCGGUGCCGCAGUUAACGCAUUAAGUGCUCCGCCUGGGGAGUACGUACGCAAGUAUAAAACUCAAAGGAAUUGACGGGGACCCGCACAAGCAGCGGAGCAUGUGGUUUAAUUCGAAGCAACGCGAAGAACCUUACCAGAGCUUGACAUC